rnacentral:lncRNA from 1 species
CUCACUCACCCCCUCUCUAACUCACCCGCUCUGUCUCUCUAAUUCUUAUCCCUCCUCUCAGUCACCCCCUCUCUGACUCACCCGCUCUGUCUCUCUCACUCUUACCCACGAAGCUCGUUCCCCUCACACUCACCCGCAAGCUCACUGUCAAAAUUUUGCUCAGAUCUCAGCUAACACAUCAUCAAAACCGCAACGAUGACGCUAGGCUCAGGAGGAUCCAGUGUUGUGGGUCAGUUUCUUCUCUGAUCUUGCCCUUUUUUGUUCAAUCUGUUUAUGCCCUUGAUUGAUUUAUUCUCUUUGUUUUGGGUGGUUUUCUGCAGUCUUAUGAACAUUUUUUUUUUUGGCAUAAAUGCAUGCGGGUUGCUAAGUUUAAUUGUUAAUUAGACCUGAUCCGCAAUUCUAUGCGUUUUUUGAAUUUUUGAUCGCGAAAUUUAGUUAAUUUAAUUUAAUAGUGUUGGAUCAUCAUCACUAUUAAAUUAAUAGUUAAAGAAAUUCUUUUGACACGGGCUUUAUGAAACCUUGUAUGUGAUACUUUGCUUAUAAAAGUAUUUGGAUUGUUUUUUGUAUUUAUAUUUUAAAAUUACUAGAAACAAGUUAUUUGAAGUGUGAUACUUUGUGAAAUGUUAAAACCUUAUGAUUUGGUUGUAAUUUUGUUUUUGCUUAUAUAUGUUUACGUUUGUUGGCAGUAAAGCAUAUAUUGCUAAUCCAGUAAUUGCAGCUUGAUUCUAAGGUUCUUUUACCUUAUUAUGCAAGGUAACAAAAUUAGUCAAAUUAUGAAUAAAAUCUUUUACACUACACAAAAAUUUAUGCCAUUUAGUCACGUAAGAGAAAAGUUAUUUGUAUUAUACAUAACUUGAUUGAAAUGAAAUAAUAUAAUUGUAAAAAUUAACAAAGUCAAAUAAAUUAUACGCAACAAUCUAAAUCUUAUAAAUUCUUAAAAAUUCCUACUCUUUGUAUAUGGUAAGGUAAGAAUUUUGAGAUCAGUCUUCAGUUUGACAAAAAAAUUAUAUCCGAACUCAUAGUCUUUCCUUAGUGAAGCAAAGAAAUUCGUGACCAAUAAUGUGAUCAUAUAACCACUAGGUAAGAAAAUUAUGUAUCAUACAUAAGUCAAUAAUUAUAUUUUUUAAAAGUUAAUUACAGUAUAAUUGAAUGACAACCUAAUUUUCUCCUACCCAUGUGAGCUAAGCGCUACAUAAGAAUGAUAUUUUUUGAAUAAUAACAAAAAGUACAAGUAAAUAAAAUAUAUUUAUUUAAGCUAAAUGCUACGUAAGAAGUUCCUUUUAUAUACUAGUCUAUGUCUCUCUUCCUCUCUCUCUUUCUCUCUCAUACUAGUCUCUCUCUCUCUCUUUCUCUCUCAUACUAGUCUCUCUCUCUCUCUCUCUCUCUUAGGAGUAUUUUAUCGUACAAUCUAGGUAUUUUUUUAAGUUCAUUUUUUAAAAGAUUGGAGAGUGGAUCAAAUCUAAAUCGAUUUUUUUAGCCUUUACCUCCCCUAAAAUUCAAAAUGUAUUAACUAGCUAAAUAAAAAUACUUGAAAAUUGUUUGACUAAGUCAUUGAGGCCAUAAUUUAAACACUGAUAGAUAGUUAAAAAGUUCCAAUAAAAUAUGAUCAUCUAAUGGUGUCUUUACAGUUUUGUAACCACAACCAGUACAAUGUCUCUAUCAAAUGACAUGUUUCUACCCAGAAUCAAUUUCUUUUUUACUAUAUGGAAUUAUCUGCUCAUGGGUUGUCUGCUCAUGGUUUGUCUGCUCAUGAGUUCUCUGCUAAUGGAUCGUCUGCUCAUGGAUUGUCUACUCAUGGAUUGUCUGCUCAUGGGUUGUCUGCUCAAGGAUCGUCUGCUCAUGGGUUAUCUGCUCAUGGAACAUCUGCUCAUAGAAAAUCUGCUCAUGGUGCUAACUAAUCAGCGGCUUCCCACCAAACAAAUUUAAUGUUGAUGCAGGGAUCUGAGAUUCGAUCAACUCAUCCAGAUUUCGGCAUCAACAUCUAGUGCCGUCUGUGGGGACCGGUACGAGAAGCCAAUUUUUUGUCUCUAUCAAUUUUCAUCUAGUCGAAGCAAAUCAGAAUGUUACAGUGCAUAAAUGGAUGAGCUUGCUUAAACAAGGAUGCAAAAACCUUAAACGAGAGCACAUUGAAAGCACACGUUUGUAAAAAUCAGAACAAGUCAGAAGUUAAAUUUUUAUUUACAAGCAAUUUUUUCAUGAAAAUUUAAUUAUUUCUCUAAAUCCUGCUAUGUGAGAUGAGGAUACCUUAUAUUCAUUAAAUUGAUUGUGCUCAUGUUAGGGCUGACGGUAUAACUUAGUUAACUUGAUUUCUUGAAAGUUACUCAAUAUGAGAAUGAUUUAAGAAAGGAGAGCUAGGCUAGCGUUGAGAAGCCAAUCAAAGUUUACUAAUAAGGCGUGCAAAGGCUCCAAAGUCUCAAAGCCUAUUUUAUGGCGAGACAGGAAGCCAAGCAUGCCAGGAUCUUCUCGACCAAGUGAAGGCGAGCAGACCACCAAAGUUCCAAAAAGUUUCUAAGGCGUGCAAAGGCUCCAAAGUCUCAAAGCAUGUUUUAUGGCGAGACAGGAGGCCAAGCAUGCCAGGAUUUGCUCGACCAAGCAAAGGCGAGCAGACCACCGAAGUUCCAAAGAGUUUCUAAGGCGUGCAAAGGCUCCAAAGUCUCAAAGCCUGUUUUAUGGCGAGACAGGAGGCCAAGCAUGCCAGGAUCUGCUCGACCAAGCGAAGGCGAGCAGACCACCAAAGUUCCAAAAAGCUUCUAAGGCGUGCAAAGGCUCCAAAGUCUCAAAGCCUAUUUUAUGGCGAGACAGGAAGCCAAGCAUGCCAGGAUCUGCUCGACCAAGCGAAGGCGAGCAGACCACCAAAGUUUCCAGUCUUGAUUCGUUUCACUCUCAACACUAGAAACUAGGGGUGUUCAGAAUCCGAUCCGAUCCGUUCAAUCCGUCUGAUCCGUAAAAAUCCGAUCCGUAUAAAUCCGAUCUGUGGAUUGGUGGAUUGGAUUGGAUUGAAAUUUUAAAAAUCCGCAAUCGGUGGAUUGCAUAUGGAUUUACUUCUGUGAAUCUGCAAAAAUCCGUGAAUCCGCAAAAAAAAAUAUAUUUAUUUAUUUAUUUUAAAAAUAUUAUUAAUAUGAUAAUUAUAUAAACACCAUAAUAUAAUUUAGUCAUUAUUUAAUAAAAUUAUAAAAUAAAAAAUAUUAAAUUAAUAAUUAAAAAAUUAAAAUAAAGUAAAGUCAUCAAGUAAAGUAACAUAACAAUCAUUAUCUAAUAAAAAUAAAAAAUAAAAAAUGAUCAAAUCGGUCAAAAAUUAUUGAAAUAAAGUCAUCCUCAUCCAAAACCAAAACGAAAGUUAAAGCUUUUGUUAAAAAAAAAAGUAACAAUGACAUAAAGUCAAAAGUAAAUUAGAUAACGCCAAAAGCAACUAGCAUUAGCAAUUUAGCAUAACGUAAAAUCGCAAAUCAGUGGUCACGACCUGCAAACGAAAAAAAAAACCCUAAGCUGCUUCUUGCUUCCCUGCCAUUACAGUCACGCACGAUUCCGACGAGUACUAUUAAACCUUACCACGGUGUUUCUAUCUCCUUCUCCAGGUACAAUACUCGUAAACAUUCUCCUAAUUUAUUAUUUUGAUUUUAUCUUUGAUAACAUUUGUUCUGAUUUUUUUAAUUAUUAUUAUGUAUCUUCUUUUUUGUCAAUGGUGACUUAAGAUAAUGAUUUUGAUAUCCUUUUAUUAAUAAUAAGGUUGUUGGGGAUCGAGGGAGAGAAUUAUUUAUUGAUUGCAUGUCUUAAUUCGGUUGCUUUUGCUUUUUGUUCUGUGGUAAAACUGAAUUUGUUAAUUUCUUCUUUGAUGGGCUAUUUUUUUAAAAAAUGAAGAUUAAAGAGUUGUUGUGGGGGGUGGUUGAAUAAUGUUGCUUCUGUGAAUCUAACAAUCAUAUUGCCUUUUCUGGAUGUAACACAUGAAUUUCGUGAUUUUUCUUUUUGAAUUGGCUUCUUUUACUUUUCCUAACUAAACUCUUUUAAGCUUAAUUUGUUCCUGUCAUUUUUCAUAAUUAAUUCUAAUGAUUUUUCAUAUUGGUGGUGUAGAUGACUUCUCAAUUUGAUAAAGGAAAACGUGUAGCUGUAGAUUCAGCCCCCCCCAAGUUCUAAAUCAUCCAGUAAUGCUGAAGGUACACCAAAUAAAUCCACUACUUCAGAAGCUUGGGAGCAUUUUAUCCAAUUAAGUUCUGAUCCACUGCAUCCUAGAUCCAAAUGUCGAUAUUGUGGAAAAGAAUAUAAAUGUGGUUUUAAUAAAGGAACAUCUAAUUUAUUGGGUCAUAUAAGAGAGAGAUGUCUAAAAUAUCCUGGUCGAGCUCGAGUGGACAAAAAACAAAAAACUUUGUCUUACCAACCAGUGAAAAUUGGAGAGUCAUGUAGCCUUGUAUCAACGACCUAUAGUGUUGAGGCUUGUAGGGAAGCAAUUGCUAAGUUUAUUAUAAAAGAUGAGAUGUCAUUUAGAGUUGUAGAGGGUGAAGAGUUUAGGGAAAUGUUGGGAGUUUUUGAAAAUAGAUUUAAAGUACCAUCUCGCACUACUAUUGCUCGUGAUAUUUUGCAACUUUACAAAAAAACAAAGAAAGAUUUAACUAAUUUUUUUGUUAGUAGUCAUCAAAGAGUUUGCCUCACUACAGACACAUGGACUUCAGCUCAAAAUCUUUGUUAUAUGUGUCUUACAGCUCACUUUAUUGAUGAUAAUUGGACAUUACACAAAAAAAUAUUGAAUUUUUGUCAAGUUGCUGACCAUAAAGGUGAAACAAUUGGUAGGCAAAUUGAAACAUGCCUAUUAGAUUGGGGUAUUGAGAGAGUUUUUACAGUAACGGUUGAUAAUGCUUCUUCUAAUGAUGGUGUUGUCUUUUAUUUGUCAAAAGUUGUGAACAAUUGGAAUAGUGCAAUCUUAGGGGGUCAAAAUAUGCAUUUGAGGUGUAGUGCACAUAUAUUAAAUCUCAUUGUUGCGGAAGGGUUAAAAGAGUAUCAUCAGUCGAUUUCUAAGAUUCGCAAUGUUGUAAGAUUUGUUAGAUCUUCACCUUCUAGGACGCAAAAGUUUAAGGCAUAUGCAGAGCGAGAGAAAAUUUCUUCAAAUAAGUUGUUGUGUCUAGAUGUCAUAACUAGAUGGAAUUCCACUUUUUUCAUGUUAGAGGCUGCUGAAAAGUAUGAAAAAGUAUUUGAUCGGUUAGAGCUUCAUGAUGCACAAUACAUUCGUGAGUUUUGUUUGAGCUAGCCAAAAACGUGUCCUUCAUCAAUUGAUUGGGAAUAUGCUCGUUAUUUCAUUAAAUUCUUGAAGGUUUUUCAUGAUGCCACUUUGACAUUUUCGGGUUCUUUAUAUGUGACAUCCAAUAAUUUUUUGCGCCAAUUAUGUUUGAUUCAUACACAAUUGCAAGCUUGGAGGGAUAGUAAGGAUUUAUUUUUGAAGAUAAUGGCUGAAAAUAUGAAAAAGAAGUAUGAUAAGUAUUGGGGAAAUUAUGAAACAAUCAACCCUUAUUUGUUUGUUUCUAUUUUGCUUGAGCCUCGACAUAAAGAACGGUUUUUGAGAUAUUGUUUUGUAGUAUUGUUUGGUGAAUUUAAAGCUAAUGAGUUGGUUGUUAAAGUGCGAAAUAAUUUACAUAGUUUAUAUGAGGAAUACAAAUUGCUUUAUGGUGAUGAUGUGGAAGUAAUGGAUGCUGUCAAUGAUGAAAAAGAUUUAGAGGUUGAUACUGAGGUUGAUGCUAGGCAAAUGUUUGAUUCGGGUUAUAUGAGGAUUUUAAAAGACAACAUUUUUGUAGAGUGCAAAACAGAAGUGGAUCUUUACUUGUUAGAAUCAUGUGAGAACCCAGAAAAUGAGAGUUUUGAUGUUUUGGAUUGGUGGAAGAUUAAUUCUUCCAAAUAUCCAAUUUUGUCCUAUGUUGCUCGAGAUAUUUUGGCCAUGCCUGUUUCCACUGUGGCAUCUGAGUCAGCAUUUAGCACUGGUGGGCGUGUUCUUGAUCCACAUCGGUGCUCACUAUCUACAAGGACGGUGGAGGCAUUAAUUUGCACACAAAAUUGGCUACGUUCAACUCCGAUAAAUCUUGAUGAAGCAAUAGAUGAGAUUGAACAUAUUGAGACAGGUAAAAUGUAACAAUUUAACUUUAAUUUUAUUUUUUGAUUAUUAUUUGACUUUAUAUUGUUAUUCUAUUUUAAAAAUUGACAUUUUUCUUAUCUUAUACGUACAGAGAUUUUGGGAGCUGACAAGAACAUAUUUGAUGAAGCUUGAUGGCAUUUGAUGGGAUAUAAGGGUAAAUAUUUAUUAAUUUAUUUAUUAAAUAAAUUUUUUUAUUUAAUAAAUUUUUUAUUUGUUAUUUAUAUCAAUUAUGUUUAUUUUGUUUAGGCUAAAAUACGAAACACAAAUUGGAGAUGGAAGUUUUUCCUUUUGGUGUGUUUUAUUUUGAGACUUUCAAUGUAUUAUUGUGGCUUUAUUUGAACAAUUAAUUUUGAUAUUAUAUUAAUAUAUUAUUGUAAUUUUAUUUGAACAAUUAAUUUUGGUAUGUUAUAUUUUAAAACUUUAAACGUAUUAUUAUAGUUUUAUUUAAACAAUUAAUCUCGAUGUGUUAUAUUUUAAAAUUUUGAAUGUAUUAUUAAAACAAACAAUUAAUUUGUUUAAAUUUUAUUAAAUUUUAAAUUUAAUUGGUAGUAAAAUUAUUUUAUUUCGUAAAUCAAUUCGUAAAAUGAUGGAUUUGGAUAUGGAUUGAGUUAAAUCCGCAUCCGAUCCGCAGACGUAUGGAUUGGAUAUGGAUUGAGUCAAAUCCGUAUCCGAUCCGCAGAUGUAUGGAUUGGAUUUGGAUUGAAUUUAAUCAAUCCGUGGAUUGGAUUGGAUUGAAAAAUUAUAAUCCGUAAAAUCAUGGAUCGGAUAUGGAUUGAUGUCCAAUCCGUAAAAUCCGAUCCGCGAACACCCCUACUAGAAACUGGGGGACUGGUGUUCAGGGAAUGAAAUAGGGUGACUAAGAUAAAGGUGUUUGCUCAUACAUUAUCGUGCUCUCCUCAAAGUAAAAGUGAGCAAAUGGUUGAGCAGAUCACCUCGACCAGGAUGUUGUUUGGUGACCUCGAGCACAUCACCUCGACCAGGAUGUUAUUGGUCACCUCGAGCCGAUCAUCUCGACCAGGAUGUUAUUGGUCACCUCGACUAGAAUAAUAUGUGGUGACCUCGAGCACAUCACCUCGACCAAGAUAUUAUUGCUCACCUCGACCAGAAUAAUAUGUGGUGACCUCGAGCACAUCACCUCGACCAAGAUAUUAUUGCUCACCUCGACCAGAAUAAUAUGUGGUGACCUCGAGCACAUUUCCUCGACCAGGAUGUUAUUGGUCACCUCGACCAGGAAGUUAGUAGGAAGCACGAUUCAGUCAAAAUAUUUUCUCUGAAAUAUUAGGGACCAUAUUCUUAGUGGGCUGAAAAUUAGUAAUUUUCUUGAGAAUUCUAGGGGAGAGGAUAAAAACCGCUAUAGUUUCCUAUAAAAACCCUAGGAAGGGGAAGGAAAAAGGGGAUUCUUCGAGCUCUCUCUCUCUCUCUGGGCAACUGAACCCAUUAGGCCUUUUUCUCUCUCUACCACUGGGAAAUUUCUCUUUCGCUUAUGAUUUCUUUAAGAUUAAUUAUUCUCAAUUAUUUUCCUUUAAAUUUACUUAAAAGCUUUUUUGUUUAAAGCAAUCAUAAUUAAGCCACAUGAAUUGUGGUAUGGGUUUUUCUAAGUAAGACCCAAAUCGCUGACUUGAGCGUCUGAGGGUUCUCGCCGGAAAAACUUCCGGCACCUCCUGACUGUUGGUUGAGCUCACAGGCUCACAGGCUCACAGGUUGUCUGUUCAUGGAUUGUCUGCUCAUGGGUUAUCUGCUCAUGGGUUGUCUGCUCAUGGUUUGUCUGCUCAUGAGUUCUCUACUAAUGGAUCGUUUGCUCAUGGAUUGUCUACUCAUGGAUUGUCUGCUCAUGGGUUGUCUGCUCAUGGGUUGUCUGCUCAUGGAUCGUCUGCUCAUGGGUUAUCUGCUCAUGGAACAUCUGCUCAUAGAAAAUCUGCUCAUGGUGCUAACUAAUCAGCAGCUUCCCACCAAACAAAUUUAAUGCUGAUGUAGGGAUCUGAGAUUCGAUCAACUCAUCCGGAUUUCGGCAUCAACAAAUAUGAUAGUUACUAUUUUACGUUUGAAAUAUUAUGUUUCUUCUGAAAGCUACCAAUCUCAUUUACAUUUCCUAGUCAAAGACUUAUUGAAAUCAAUUAUUUAUGCUAUUAAUUCAGUUAGUUAAGGAUAUACUUUAAAGUUUAAAUGAUAUGACAUUUAAUCAACCAACAAUACAACAUUUAUCGAUUUAAUAUUAAGAUAUCUAAACAAAAUGAGAUGACAAGAUCAGUACUCAACAUAUAAUUUAAUUUUAAUAUAACUUCUUUCAUAAAUAUUGAUACAAUAAUAUUGUAUCAAUAUCAUGUCACUUGUUUUACUUUAUUUACUUAUUACUUAACUCUUUUAGCACUUAUACGUCACUCAUAAACUUGUAUAAAUUUUGUAUGCAUCGAAUUGUUGGGAUUAAAAUUCAUAGAGUUCAACUCUCGUGCACGAACUUAGGAUUUCUCUAUUAAGUUUACUUGAAUAUGAUUAUAUUUUUGUUAUAGUUUAUAACCUCUUUUCAAUUUUUUCGAUAUCUAUGAUUUUCAUUAAAUCACUACUCUAGUUGGCAUUUCGCAUCACCCCAAUUGAUUAGUUGCUCUCUAAUCCAACAAAAUUAAUAUGGAAAGAAAUGAAUGGCCAGCGAUAAAUAUUCCAACAUUAUGCAUUAAGCCAUUCCACUCCUACAAAACUGAAUCUUUGACAGAAUGCUUUUUCACGUGAUCAUGUAUGUGUCAAAGUUUUGUGACAGAUAUAUUAUUUUGCAGAUGUGGCAAACACAGUCGUUUCAAAAUCUUAGAGGCCUUCAAAUUUUGAUUAUUCUAUAAGAGGAUAGUUACAAAAUUCUGCUACAAAUAGUAAAAGUUAAGUGAUUCUUGACAGAAUACUAUCAAAAGGUUUAAAUAAAAUCUCACAUCUUAAUAUUUUACAAAAAUGUGUUUUAAAUAUUUUAAUUUUUUUACAUAAUUCUAUCAAUGAACUUUCUUUUUAAAUUUUUAAUUCCACGUAGACAUUGAAAAAUGACCUAGUUUUAAAAGAUUCCAAUGAUUUAACUGAUGUGAAUAUAUCUUCAAUAAGUCAACGACAAAAUUCUAUGAAACAAAAUUUACUAUUUUAAUUAUUUUAUAUUGCCACAUCAAUAAACUAAAACGAUGAUAUUUCAUAUGCUCAAAAAAGAAAAACUUAUGUAGGUCGAGUUCGCCAUCUCAUCAUAUUAAAAAGGCGUGUUCAACCAAUAAGAAUUUGCCAUCUAAAAAGUUCAAUGGGUCUUUUGAAAAGCUUGGCUCGAGUCUGAGCCUGAGUGUUUCAGGUCGGACUCAGCCUAAGCUCGGGCAUAAAACACAAUAAAUGCUCAAAAAAUAAAAGAAUAAAUAUUUUAUUUUUAAUUAAAAUACACUUUUUAAUAUAUGUUUAACAUAACCAGAAGUCCAGAACAUAUAUUUAAAGUUUUAAAUUUUUAACAGAACUUUUAAUACCUAAUCUAAUAAGAAAGUUUAUAAAUUAUAAAUUUAUAGAAUACAAUGAAAAAGGUUUAAAAAAAUUAAAGUAUAAAUAUGAGGUUUUACAAUAAAAUAUCAAAUGGUGGCAAAAUGGGCGGCCAAAAAGUGCGCCAAAUCAAAAUUAUUCAAAAUUCCUCUCUUCAAUGCCCUUUUUAUUUUAUGCACCGCUGAUAUAAAAUUAACACAAAAACAUUCUGAAAUCGAAAGCUUGGAACGAAUCUCACGCCUCUCGCCUUCUCUUUCUCGCAUUUCGCAUUCCUCUUUGCCUCUCUCUCUCUCUCUCUCUCUCACACACACACACACACAUAAAUGUUAACCUCACCAGUCCUCACAAAUAAGCCGUUUGCUUUUAUCACUUGCUGGGCAAUCAUCUCCAAAAAUGAAACAACUGAAAUUCAAAUGGGAUAUUUAUUUUUCUCUCCAGAUUCUUUUCUCUGAAAUAAUGCUAAAACAAUUUUUUUUUUGUUUUUUUUGUAUAAUUUCAGCAAAGGUCCAGAUCGCUCAAGGCCUAAUUUCAUCUCAAGGUUUGUCUUUUUCCUCUUGAUUGCCUUUCGUUAUUGGUUUCUCAUGUGACAUUACUUUACUUUGUUCUUUGCUUAUUGUAAAUUUAUUCACGGUUUCUACAUUAUAAGUUACGGUCUUUGUUUACUUUUAUUAAAAAUUAUGGUAUAUGAAUAAUAAGAAUAAUAAUAAUAUUGGCUUGUUUGCGUAAUUGUCUUCGAUAUUGACUGUAUUUACAAGAUUCUCUGUGACAUAUUUCUUAUUGUGAUUGUUUAAUUAGUCUCGAUUGCAAUUUUUACAAGAUUUGAUGAAUGUUAAAAUUUAAGUAACAAUUUAAAUUUGUACACCAAGUGUUUGUUAUAAUGCCGUGUGUUAUCUUCAAUAGAUUUUUUUUUUCUUUAACACGUAGUAUAAGCCUGAUAAUAUUUUUCAAUUUCUUUCCAAGAUGCAGUUUUUGAUAAAGAAUAAAACAAAUGAUUGAGACUGUUUCGAUGCUAAUUUUUCAAAUUAGCGCAUAUUAUGCUACUUCAUCUCAAGCAACCUAUGAUGAUAGCUAAUAUUGAUGCAAUAUUCUGCCAUGCCUGCGGAUUCAACUUGCUAAGAUUUUGGUUAUGCCUUCAGGUUCAAGCAUUGUUGCUGAUUAUGUGAGCUGUUGAGAUUUUAGUAUUGAGCAUGGCUGCUUUAGAUUCAAUUUGAGCAAAUGUAAUUGUUUCCUUUUCUGUCACUAUAUUCUUACAAGGACUUUUUUGAUAGAAUAAAAUUAUGUCAGUAACAUGGUCUGUGACAAAAAUUAUUCUGUCAAAAAAAAAACUCAAUUUUGUAGUGAUUCCAAAUAAUGGUUUAGUUUCUUUCCUCGUUUUGUCAAUAAUUGAUUCUAUUCCUG